CACGUAGGGCGCAAGCGUUGUCCGGAAUUAUUGGGCGUAAAGAGCUCGUAGGCGGUCUGUUGCGUCGGCUGUGAAAACUCGGGGCUCAACCCCGAGCCUGCAGUCGAUACGGGCAGACUAGAGUGCUGUAGGGGAGACUGGAAUUCCUGGUGUAGCGGUGAAAUGCGCAGAUAUCAGGAGGAACACCGAUGGCGAAGGCAGGUCUCUGGGCCGAUACUGACGCUGAGGAGCGAAAGGCGUGGGGAGCGAACAGG
rnacentral:rRNA from 1 species